UUUAUGGAGAGUUUGAUCCUGGCUCAGGAUGAACGCUGGCGGCGUGCCUAAUACAUGCAAGUCGAGCGAACGGACGAGAAGCUUGCUUCUCUGAUGUUAGCGGCGGACGGGUGAGUAACACGUGGAUAACCUACCUAUAAGACUGGGAUAACUUCGGGAAACCGGAGCUAAUACCGGAUAAUAUUUUGAACCGCAUGGUUCAAAAGUGAAAGACGGUCUUGCUGUCACUUAUAGAUGGAUCCGCGCUGCAUUAGCUAGUUGGUAAGGUAACGGCUUACCAAGGCAACGAUGCAUAGCCGACCUGAGAGGGUGAUCGGCCACACUGGAACUGAGACACGGUCCAGACUCCUACGGGAGGCAGCAGUAGGGAAUCUUCCGCAAUGGGCGAAAGCCUGACGGAGCAACGCCGCGUGAGUGAUGAAGGUCUUCGGAUCGUAAAACUCUGUUAUUAGGGAAGAACAUAUGUGUAAGUAACUGUGCACAUCUUGACGGUACCUAAUCAGAAAGCCACGGCUAACUACGUGCCAGCAGCCGCGGUAAUACGUAGGUGGCAAGCGUUAUCCGGAAUUAUUGGGCGUAAAGCGCGCGUAGGCGGUUUUUUAAGUCUGAUGUGAAAGCCCACGGCUCAACCGUGGAGGGUCAUUGGAAACUGGAAAACUUGAGUGCAGAAGAGGAAAGUGGAAUUCCAUGUGUAGCGGUGAAAUGCGCAGAGAUAUGGAGGAACACCAGUGGCGAAGGCGACUUUCUGGUCUGUAACUGACGCUGAUGUGCGAAAGCGUGGGGAUCAAACAGGAUUAGAUACCCUGGUAGUCCACGCCGUAAACGAUGAGUGCUAAGUGUUAGGGGGUUUCCGCCCCUUAGUGCUGCAGCUAACGCAUUAAGCACUCCGCCUGGGGAGUACGACCGCAAGGUUGAAACUCAAAGGAAUUGACGGGGACCCGCACAAGCGGUGGAGCAUGUGGUUUAAUUCGAAGCAACGCGAAGAACCUUACCAAAUCUUGACAUCCUUUGACAACUCUA
rnacentral:rRNA from 1 species